UGGGGAAUAUUGGACAAUGGGCGAAAGCCUGAUCCAGCCAUGCCGCGUGUGUGAAGAAGGUCUUCGGAUUGUAAAGCACUUUAAGUUGGGAGGAAGGGCAGUAAGCUAAUACCUUGCUGUUUUGACGUUACCGACAGAAUAAGCACCGGCUAACUCUGUGCCAGCAGCCGCGGUAAUACAGAGGGUGCAAGCGUUAAUCGGAAUUACUGGGCGUAAAGCGCGCGUAGGUGGUUUGUUAAGUUGGAUGUGAAAGCCCCGGGCUCAACCUGGGAACUGCAUCCAAAACUGGCAAGCUAGAGUACGGUAGAGGGUGGUGGAAUUUCCUGUGUAGCGGUGAAAUGCGUAGAUAUAGGAAGGAACACCAGUGGCGAAGGCGACCACCUGGACUGAUACUGACACUGAGGUGCGAAAGCGUGGGGAGCAAACAGGAUUAGAUACCCAGGUAGUCCCUGAGCGGGCUGGCAAGGCGCAU
rnacentral:rRNA from 1 species